UUANUNGCGAANGGGUGAGUAACACGUGGGCAAUCUGCCCUUCACUCUGGGACAAGCCCUGGAAACGGGGUCUAAUACCGGAUACGACACGGGGUCGCAUGACCUCCGUGUGGAAAGCUCCGGCGGUGAAGGAUGAGCCCGCGGCCUAUCAGCUUGUUGGUGGGGUGAUGGCCUACCAAGGCGACGACGGGUAGCCGGCCUGAGAGGGCGACCGGCCACACUGGGACUGAGACACGGCCCAGACUCCUACGGGAGGCAGCAGUGGGGAAUAUUGCACAAUGGGCGAAAGCCUGAUGCAGCGACGCCGCGUGAGGGAUGACGGCCUUCGGGUUGUAAACCUCUUUCAGCAGGGAAGAAGCGAGAGUGACGGUACCUGCANAAGAAGCGCCGGCUAACUACGUGCCAGCAGCCGCGGUAAUACGUAGGGCGCAAGCGUUGUCCGGAAUUAUUGGGCGUAAAGAGCUCGUAGGCGGCUUGUCACGUCGGAUGUGAAAGCCCGGGGCUUAACCCCGGGUCUGCAU
rnacentral:rRNA from 1 species